AUUUCUAGUUUGACGAAUCUCGUUAAUGAUUAGCAGUUCCAGCCCCGGGGGAGCGAAGAAUCCUCCCCGUCUGCCAGGAGGUGCAGGGCCAGAGCGGGAAGGAGGAGCAGGUUCUCAGUGGAAGUCCUCCCUCAGAUGCUAAGUUGGACAUCUAUAUCAGGUGCUUUACAAAAAAGCUGACCACCCUCCAUCCAGAAAUUAUUGAAUUCUUGGUGA